rnacentral:tRNA from 1 species
ACCAGUGUGGUAUAGUGGUUUGAGUGUUGGACUAUGACUCUAGAGACCAGGGUUUGAAUCCCAGCUGGGUG